rnacentral:tRNA from 1 species
GGGGUUGUGGCUCAGCGGUGGAGCACUCACAUAGGGCGUGUGAGGCUCUGGGUUCGAUCCUCAGCACCACA